rnacentral:rRNA from 1 species
UACGAAGGGGGCUAGCGUUGCUCGGAAUCACUGGGCGUAAAGCGCACGUAGGCGGAUCUUUAAGUCAGGGGUGAAAUCCUGGAGCUCAACUCCAGAACUGCCUUUGAUACUGGGGAUCUCGAGUCCGGAAGAGGUGAGUGGAACUCCGAGUGUAGAGGUGAAAUUCGUAGAUAUUAAGAGGAACAUCAGUGGCGAAAGCGACUAUCUGGCUGAAUACUGACGCUGUUGCACGAAAGCGUGGGGAGCAAACAGG